rnacentral:rRNA from 1 species
UACGUAGGGUGCAAGCGUUGUCCGGAAUUAUUGGGCGUAAAGAGCUCGUAGGCGGUUCCGUAAGUCAGAUGUGAAAACUCAGGGCUCAACCCGGAGACGCCAUCUGAUACUGCGGUGACUGGAGUCUGGUAGGGGAACACGGAAUUCCUGGUGUAGCGGUGAAAUGCGCAGAUAUCAGGAGGAACACCGAUGGCGAAGGCAGUGUUCUGGGCCAGUACUGACGCUGAGGAGCGAAAGCCAGGGGAGCAAACGGG